rnacentral:rRNA from 1 species
CCUACGGGGGGCAGCAGUGGGGAAUAUUGGACAAUGGGCGAAAGCCUGAUCCAGCCAUGCCGCGUGUGUGAAGAAGGUCUUCGGAUUGUAAAGCACUUUAAGUUGGGAGGAAGGGCAGUAAGCUAAUACCUUGCUGUUUUGACGUUACCGACAGAAUAAGCACCGGCUAACUCUGUGCCAGCAGCCGCGGUAAUACAGAGGGUGCAAGCGUUAAUCGGAAUUACUGGGCGUAAAGCGCGCGUAGGUGGUUUGUUAAGUUGGAUGUGAAAGCCCCGGGCUCAACCUGGGAACUGCAUCCAAAACUGGCAAGCUAGAGUACGGUAGAGGGUGGUGGAAUUUCCUGUGUAGCGGUGAAAUGCGUAGAUAUAGGAAGGAACACCAGUGGCGAAGGCGACCACCUGGACUGAUACUGACACUGAGGUGCGAAAGCGUGGGGAGCAAACAGGAUUAGAUACCCCUGUAGUC